rnacentral:sRNA from 1 species
CAAGUAUCACUUCGCCACACCAUCACCAUCACUCGACCAUUCACUCUACCAAGUUACUCGACCCCCUGGUCGAGUAUCAUCACUCACCACCAUCAGCAUCACUCGACCGGACACUCGAUCACGUCUUCACAGUCUACUCAAAUCCGCACUCAACCAGACAAGCUGAGCACAAGGAAGAGAAGAGGAGAAGACAAAGUGUUUGGAAGCGGCCUGGACUUCCAUCGGAUCACGAAGCCCAUCUCGGCCCAUUAUCUCUCUAUGGGCCGAGCGAUUAGGUUAUUGGCCCGUCUACUAUCAUUUUAUUUCGUUUUGUAUAAAUAGAUGUCUUAGGGUUCUGUCCUGAGACAUCUAGUCGACAUUGAGUUUUUGCUUUAGUUUUAUUUUCUGUUUUACUCUACUGCGCCGCUUUUGCUUUUACAACCUGUAAUUCGAGAUUUUUCCAAGUUAUUCAGAUUCCGCAUUUGAUUUCAUUUGUCAUCUUGUUUCUCUACUCUUUCUCUCUUUACUUAUGCAAUAUUAUCGUUUAUCUGCGUUUAUGUCUUUGAGCAUGUUGUCUAAGUAGUGACUUAGAAUUCUUAGGGAUAGGAUAGAGUAGUUGUGGAAUCCGUAGUCUGUAGAAUGGUUAAGUUUUAGAAUUGAUUGAAUCCCUUUAGGACUAGUUGCGUUUACUGCUUAUUUCUUUCUGAUCAAUUGGAAUUCGAUCCCAAGCAUUCCCGCACCCAGAAGGUGUUCGAUGGAAUGCUUGAUCCACUAGUUCCUGAGAUAUGCGUCUCUAUCCCAAGGGAUUUGCCGUUUAGAGCGUUUAUUGACUUUAUCAGUCAGUUCUUAUUGCCUGCAUAGUUAGAUUCCGUUAAUGGGAAUUAGUUUGGGCUAGCUUUGCUUGAGGAUUUCUAUCACGGGAGUGAAUUGAUCUGUUGUUGAACCUGUUGUCUAGGGAUAGCUUGAUUGCGCUUAUUAACCAUUCAAAUAGGCUAGGAUACCACUCUACUCGAUUACCCCAUCCUUAGGAAUUUUUCGUCUAUCUUAUUUCUCUGUUUUAUCGUUAUCGCUUAAUCGUUCUCAUUGCCUGUUUCUUAGUUUUUACAAUCACUGGACCAUCUUACUCGACCACACCCAGUGUCUUGCAACAGACUGUGCAGUCGAGUAAGAUUGUCUUGUUUCCUGUCUGUUACUCGACCAGUAUACUCGACCACACCUAGUGUCUGGCAACAGACUGUGCAGUCGAGUAUAGCUGUUUCAUAUCUUGUCUGUUACUCGACCUGUUACUCGACCACAUCCUACUUCUGGCAUCAGCCUGUUGUGGUCGAGUGAUUUUAGUAAUUCUGUUAUUGCUUCUGUUUUCUACAUGUUCGCUUAGGACUGUUAGAAACCCCAAAACUGUUAUUGCUUGGCUUGACUUAGUGACUUCUGAUCACAUUUCAUCUGUUUGCAUCACACCCAUUUGGAUUGACACCUAAAAUACUACAACGACAUGAUUGGUGUUUUAGGAUAAUUGACCAGAA